rnacentral:tRNA from 2 species
GGGCCUCUAGCUCAAUGGUAGAGCAGUUGACUCUUAAUCAAUUGGUUCAGGGUUCGAUCCCCUGGGGGCCCACCA